rnacentral:rRNA from 3 species
UGGGUAGGGGAGCGUCGUGUGCCGGGUGAAGCAGCGCCGGAAGGUAGUUGUGGACGGUUCACGAGUGAGAAUGCAGGCAUGAGUAGCGAUACACACGUGGGAAACGUGUGCGCCGAUUGACUAAGGGUUCCUGGGUCAAGCUGAUCUGCCCAGGGUAAGUCGGGACCUAAGGCGAGGCCGACAGGCGUAGUCGAUGGACAACCGGUUGAUAUUCCGGUACCCGCUUUGAAGCGCCAAACAUCGAAUC